rnacentral:rRNA from 1 species
UGGGGAAUUUUGGACAAUGGGCGAAAGCCUGAUCCAGCAAUGCCGCGUGUGUGAAGAAGGCCUUCGGGUUGUAAAGCACUUUUGUCCGGAAAGAAAUCCUUGGCUCUAAUACAGUCGGGGGAUGACGGUACCGGAAGAAUAAGCACCGGCUAACUACGUGCCAGCAGCCGCGGUAAUACGUAGGGUGCAAGCGUUAAUCGGAAUUACUGGGCGUAAAGCGUGCGCAGGCGGUUUGCUAAGACCGAUGUGAAAUCCCCGGGCUCAACCUGGGAACUGCAUUGGUGACUGGCAGGCUAGAGUAUGGCAGAGGGGGGUAGAAUUCCACGUGUAGCAGUGAAAUGCGUAGAGAUGUGGAGGAAUACCGAUGGCGAAGGCAGCCCCCUGGGCCAAUACUGACGCUCAUGCACGAAAGCGUGGGGAGCAAACAGGAUUAGAUACCCUGGGUAGUCCACGCCCUAAACGAUGUCAACUAGUUGUUGGGGAUUCAUUCCUUAGUAACGUAGCUAACGCGUGAAGUUGACCGCCUGGGGAGUACGGUCGCAAGAUU